ACUUACGGCCAUACCACCCUGAGAACGCCCGAUCUCGUCUGAUCUCGGAAGCUAAGCAGGGUCGGGCCUGGUUAGUACUUGGAUGGGAGACCGCCUGGGAAUACCAGGUGCUGUAAGCU
rnacentral:rRNA from 1 species